rnacentral:rRNA from 1 species
AUUAGGUAGUUGGUGGGGUAAAGGCCUACCAAGCCGACGAUCUGUAGCGGGUCUGAGAGGAUGAUCCGCCACACUGGGACUGAGACACGGCCCAGACUCCCACGGGAGGCAGCAGUGGGGAAUUUUGGACAAUGGGGGAAACCCUGACGCAGCAACGCCGCGUGAGUGAUGAAGGCUUUCGGGUCGUAAAGCUCUGUCUAGAGGGAAGAAGUGAUAUUUGGCUAAUACCCAGAUUUCUUGACGGUACCUCUGAAGGAAGCACCGGCUAACUCCGUGCCAGCAGCCGCGGUAAUACGGAGGGUGCAAGCGUUGUUCGGAAUUAUCGGGCGUAAAGCGCGUGUAGGCGGUUUGUUAAGUCUGAUGUGAAAGCCCUGGGCUCAACCUGGGAAGUGCAUUGGAAACUGGCGGACUUGAAUACGGGAGAGGGUAGUGGAAUUCCGAGUGUAGGAGUGAAAUCCGUAGAUAUUCGGAGGAACACCGGUGGCGAAGGCGGCUACCUGGACCGAUAUUGACGCUGAGACGCGAAAGCGUGGGUAGCAAACAGGAUUAGAUACCCUGGUAGUCCACGCCGUAAACGAUGAGUACUAGGUGUUGCG